AGCUCGGUAGCGUGAUGGUACCGCGUCUGUCCCCAACAGUGCUUGAGUCAAGGACUUAUGGUCUACAGAUAGUUCUGGGUUCGACUCCGAGUCGAGCUA